UAACUAGUUUUCCACGAUUAUGCCUUGAUAAUGGCCUACACCUACACUGUCACACACAAAUUAUUUAUUAUCGUAAGACCAAUUUUAAACGCUGCUGAAAAAUAGUAAGGCACGAAAUACCAAGUUAUUAGUGUAAGAGCGUCAUACCUAACCCAGUUACAGCAACCCUUAGCACGCUAA